rnacentral:rRNA from 1 species
GCUCAGAAACUUAAAGGAUGACGGGGCCCGCACAAGCGGUGGAGCAUGUGGUUUAAUUCGAUGAUACGCGAGGAACCUUACCCGGGCUUGAAAUGCAUCUGACCGGCCUUGAAAGAGGUUUUUCCCCUUCGGGGCAGAUGUGUAGGUGCUGCAUGGUUGUCGUCAGCUCGUGCCGUGAGGUGUCGGCUUAAGUGCCAUAACGAGCGCAACCCUCAUCAUUAGUUACCAUCAGGUAAGGCUGGGGACUCUAAUGAGACUGCCAUCGUAAGAUGUGAGGAAGGUGGGGAUGACGUCAAAUCAGCACGGCCCUUACGUCCGGGGCGACACACGUGUUACAAUGGGUGGUACAAAGGGCAGCUACCUGGCGACAGGAUGCUAAUCUCCAAAACCACUCUCAGUUCGGAUCGGAGUCUGCAACUCGACUCCGUGAAGCUGGAUUCGCUAGUAAUCGCGCAUCAGCCACGGCGCGGUGAAUACGUUCCCGGGCCUU